rnacentral:lncRNA from 1 species
UGAAAACAUGGGUCUGUUGCUGGAUUCUCUCUUCUGUUUACUGAACUAUCUUUUUAGUCCUAUGCCAAUACAUUUUUGUUUAAUUACUAUAAUUUUGUAAUGUAUUUUGAUAUCUGGCAUGGAAAAUCAUCUUUAUUGUUCUUUUGCUUUAAAAGUCAGCAUUCUUACUUAUUUACUCUCCCAGAUAAAAUUAGGAUCAGUCUUUCAAUUCUAAACGUAUUUUUUCUCUGAGUAUUUGAUGGGAUUAUACUGAGUUGAUAAAUUGGCAUAAAAUUGAUAUCUUUAUAAUGUAUUUUUUUUUAAAGAAAACAAGCUUGGCAAGUUUUAUUAAAGGAAAAUUUUGCAUAGUUUACUUUCCACCAGGCUGUUCUGGCAUGCUUCUAAUGAUAGCAGAAUCACCUGGAUCAGUGAGCGCCAGUGUGCACACUCUGUAGUAUUUUCCACAUGCUGUGCCCAGUUCAAUAUUAUUGCCACUGUAGUGAUGGACACCAAUUUUGGCCAACAUUGCAUAGUACUCUAUUUCCGAUUUCUUCAAAGCUGGGCAGUUGUUAGCAAGGAUGACUAAUUUUGCUGUGCCUUGUCUGAUCAUCUUUAGAGUCUGCUUGUACCCCAGCAUGUACUUUCCACUUUCCAUGAGUUGGAGCCGAGAAUUAAUUGACUCCAGUGACUUUUUCAUCUCCUUGGUCGGGAUGGCCCAAACUAAGAGCUGCUGCCAAGAUGGCCGGGGAGUGAGAAAGGCUCCUGACUUGAUAAUGAGCCACUUGGAUAUGAACCCUUGUUGACACACAUUGGUAUGCAGACGCCAGCUGUGGAGUCUCCCACAAGUGAAGAGUAGGACUCAAGUAGGUCUUACAUGUUAGUAAAAUCUUUAUGCUACUAUUUACAGGGGUCUCACAGAAUAUCUUUGCCUUCUACUUUUAGUAUUUGUGGCUCCCUUCUGGUGAAGAGUCCUGGGAAGACAUGGUGCUGAUAGUGAUCCAGUACAUCAAAUACCAUGACUGUUUUUUGUUUGUUGUCUUCCAUCCGGGUCUUCUUAACAGAAAAUUUAUUAAUUUUUAAAAAUAAAAUGUUUUCAUUUUAAAAAUGAAAAUAUUUUACACCAUUACAUGUAAACUCCCAUAUCUUUACUAUUUGUGUCUCAUUCUCAUUGCUGCCCAGGUGAAACCUGUAAGUUCUAUCAGACAGGCCUCUUGUCUUCGUUCUUGCACAAGGCAGCCACACCUGGAAUGAGAGCAGCUGGGAUCCAGUGCUCAGCCACAGGGACUGGAAGUAGCUGUGUUAGGAAUAUGGUGCCCCAGCUUUUCACUGAGGGAUUGAUGCUUCUUUGGCUGACAUAAAUCUGCUCUACUGAAAAACAUUUGGAAAGGAGCUUUGCAGAGUGUAACUUGCCUGGUUGGCAGUCUUGUUUCUUUCUUAGCCAAGAAGAAGCAAGGGGCUCAUCAAACCAAAUUUCAACCUUCAGCUCCACUUGAAAAAUCAUGGUGGUUGACACAGGGAUCAGCAAAGUCUUUGAAGUUCUUUGGCAUGCAAGGCAAAUUAUAAUUUCGUUCAUAAGGGAAAUGUUUUUCCUUUUGUGCUGUUUGGUAUCCUGGGCACAGAAUUCCUUUCCAGUUUUCCAUAACCAGCAUCCUGGGUAUUUUUGUAUUAAAA